GCCUUAUCAAGAGAGGUGGAGGGAAAAGGCCCUAUGAAGCCCAGCAACCGCCCUAAUGGGUACGGUGCUAAUUCCUGCAGGACAUUCUGCAAGAUGAGGA
rnacentral:ncRNA from 2 species